UACGUAGGGUGCGAGCGUUGUCCGGAAUUACUGGGCGUAAAGAGCUCGUAGGCGGCUUGUCGCGUUGUUCGUGAAAAUUUACCGCUCAACGGUGAACUUGCGGGCGAUACGGGCAGGCUAGAGUACUGCAGGGGAGACUGGAAUUCCUGGUGUAGCGGUGAAAUGCGCAGAUAUCAGGAGGAACACCGGUGGCGAAGGCGGGUCUCUGGGCAGUAACUGACGCUGAGGAGCGAGAGCGUGGGGAGCGAACAGG
rnacentral:rRNA from 1 species